GUGCAAAUCCCGAUAGGAUUAAUGGAUUUUUUUUUUUUGAAAAUUCAUAAGUUCACGAAUGGGCGUGGAAAAAGAAUUCAAGGAUUUUCGUGUACGCAAACCUCUAUUUGCACAGUUUCACGUCGAUAACGAUCUAUUACGUUUUUCGUAUAAUUUAACGCGGCCACCACGAAUGGCCGAUUCAACGUUGAUAAGCUCGAAUUUUGGUGGAAAUUGCACGGAAAUCACGAGGAAUUUCACAGGAUCCGAAAGAGGCAAAGCUCUCGAAGUUUUGUGGCGUGCGAAUUUAAUUUUCCACGUUGCUUUGCCGCCCAUUUAAACUGGUGGCGCUGGUCGAGGUCAGACCGGUUGCAGGGGCGUACUGUGUUUCACCCGGAGAUAAUUAAUGUGAACUUCGGACUAAUAGCAGAGUAACACGACCGCGUGACAGGGUUACAAUGUGAACGACCAUUACUGGCUAAGAAAUUAGCCCAACCCGGGACGUAUCGUUCUUU